rnacentral:rRNA from 1 species
AGAGCGAACGCUGGCGGCAUGCUUAACACAUGCAAGUCGCACGGGCGGGGGCAACCCUGUCAGUGGCGGACGGGUGAGUAACGCGUAGGUAUCUAUCCUUGGGUGGGGGACAACUGUGGGAAACUACAGCUAAUACCGCAUGAUGACCGAGGUCCAAAGCUCGCGAGAGCGCCUGGGGAGGAGCCUGCGUACGAUUAGCUAGUUGGUGGGGUAAAGGCCUACCAAGGCGACGAUCGUUAGCUGGUCUGAGAGGAUGAUCAGCCACAUUGGGACUGAGACACGGCCCAAACUCCUACGGGAGGCAGCAGUGGGGAAUAUUGGACAAUGGGCGAAAGCCUGAUCCAGCAAUGCCGCGUGUGUGAAGAAGGUCUUCGGAUUGUAAAGCACUUUCGACGGGGACGAUGAUGACGGUACCCGUAGAAGAACGCCCGGCUAACUUCGCGCCAGCAGCCGC